UACGGGGGGAGCAAGCGUUGUUCGGAUUUACUGGGCGUAAAGGGCGCGUAGGCGGCCACCGCAAGUCAAUUGUGAAAUCUCCGGGCUUAACUCGGAAAGGUCAACUGAUACUGCGGGGCUAGAGUGCGGAAGGGGCAACUGGAAUUCUCGGUGUAGCGGUGAAAUGCGCAGAUAUCAGGAAGAACACCCGUGGCUAAGGCGGCUCUCUAGUACGGUACUGACGCUGAGACGCGAAAGCGUGGGGAGCGAACAGG
rnacentral:rRNA from 1 species